rnacentral:rRNA from 1 species
UACGUAGGGUGCGAGCGUUAAUCGGAAUUACUGGGCGUAAAGGGUGCGCAGGCGGUUUUUUAAGUCUGACGUGAAAUCCCCGGGCUCAACCUGGGAAUGGCGUUGGAGACUGGAAGGCUAGAGUGUGUCAGAGGGGGGUAGAAUUCCACGUGUAGCAGUGAAAUGCGUAGAGAUGUGGAGGAAUACCGAUGGCGAAGGCAGCCCCCUGGGAUAACACUGACGCUCAGGCACGAAAGCGUGGGGAGCAAACAGG